UCCACGCCGUAAACGAUGUCGACUUGGAGGUUGUGCCCUUGAGGCGUGGCUUCCGGAGCUAACGCGUUAAGUCGACCGCCUGGGGAGUACGGCCGCAAGGUUAAAACUCAAAUGAAUUGACGGGGGCCCGCACAAGCGGUGGAGCAUGUGGUUUAAUUCGAUGCAACGCGAGGAACCUUACCUGGUCUUGACAUCCAGAGAAUCCUGCAGAGAUGCGGGAGUGCCUUCGGGAACUCUGAGACAGGUGCUGCAUGGCUGUCGUCAGCUCGUGUUGUGAAAUGUUGGGUUAAGUCCCGCAACGAGCGCAACCCUUAUCCUUUGUUGCCAGCGGUUCGGCCGGGAACUCAAAGGAGACUGCCGGUGAUAAACCGGAGGAAGGUGGGGAUGACGUCAAGUCAUCAUGGCCCUUACGACCAGGGCUACACACGUGCUACGAUGGCGCAUACAAAGAGAAGCGACCUCGCGAGAGCAAGCGGACCUCAUAAAGUGCGUCGUAGUCCGGAUUGGAGUCUGCAACUCGACUCCAUGAAGUCGGAAUCGCUAGUAAUCGUGGAUCAGAAUGCCACGGUGAAUACGUUCCCGGGCCUUGUACACACCGCCCGUCACACCAUGGGAGUGGGUUGCAAAAGAAGUAGGUAGCUUAACCUUCGGGAGGGCGCUUACCACUUUGUGAUUCAUGACUGGGGUGAA
rnacentral:rRNA from 1 species